UGUUACCCUGGAAGUUACACACCCAGCACUUUGUUUGAUUUGAUGGAUUGCCUUGUGAGAAGAUGGAUUUAGCUGGUUAACAACUGCAUUAGCAAGCCACACCGAGUUUCUGAUCGCAGAUCCAGCAAGUGGGAGAUAGUCCUGCAAAAUGUGACCGUUGCACCUCGCCAGGUACCCAUCGGGGUAACACAGGAUAAUCCAUUUGGAAUAUUCACAAAGAAUGGAGAGCCAGCUACAAGUGCUGUUAUUGU